rnacentral:rRNA from 1 species
AUAUGUAGGUGGCAAGCGUUGUCCGGAUUUAUUGGGCGUAAAGCGAGCGCAGGCGGUUUUUUAAGUCUGAUGUGAAAGCCUUCGGCUUAACCGGAGAAGUGCAUCGGAAACUGGGAGACUUGAGUGCAGAAGAGGACAGUGGAACUCCAUGUGUAGCGGUGGAAUGCGUAGAUAUAUGGAAGAACACCAGUGGCGAAGGCGGCUCUCUGGUCUGUAACUGACGCUGAGGCUCGAAAGCGUGGGUAGG